AGAUUAGCUGAAAUGACGCCUCAAUAAUUUUCUACGAUUUUAUUUUCUGUUAGUUCUUUGACAGAGUCAUUAGUGCCUUCAUCGUACUUUUCCUCUAUUUUCCUCCACUACCAUCUUUUUUGUCCACAGUUCCUGUGAAUCUCUCUUGAGUUGAGAUCACUCCUUCCCCGUCUCUUUUAAACCAUUUUCCUCAAUAAAAUCAAAACAAUUGAACCUUCUUCAUUUUUUAAUCAGUAGGUAUUUCUUAUGAAACUUUUGAUGCAUCUUCUGCUGUUGUCUCUUCUCUUCCAUUACUUCCAGCAGCAUCUUCUCAUUUUUUUUGGUUGCUGAGAUCCUCUUUGACAGACCCUAUCUCCUUUCAUCAUUGCUGUGAAUAUGAUCUAGAUUGCUUUAGAUGAAUGAACCAAUCCGUAGGAAGCUUGUUCUACUGACUGAAGUUUGGGCUAAAAGGGAAUUGAGUUGUUUAUUUUGGGUGUUUCUUCUAUAUUGUGGCUGUAAACCAGUUAUGUAGUCAUUUUGAAGCCUACAGGGAUAUCACAAAGAUCACAGAGCUUAGGGAGAAAUUUAAGAGUAUAAAACAAAUACUUAAGUCACAUGUGUUUUCUGAUUUCUCAAGCCUAGGUACUGGCAAAGAGACAGAAGAAAGUAAUUUACUGCAGCAGUUAUCUGAUGCUUGCUUGGUUGUCGAUUCCUUGGAGCCAUCUGUGAGGAAAGAGUUGGUAAAUAAUUUUUGUCGCCGGAGCUAACUUCAUGCGAACAGAUUUUUGAAGGGGCUGGUUUGUAAGACUAUCACAGUGUUCAUACCUUGUGAAGGCACUACAACGGACCCUAGAAUUUGAGGACGAAUUAGCUGAGAAAUUUGGAGGAGGCAGCAUCAGCAGAGGUUGGUGCUGACAUUGAAGAAAUAGGUAGAGCAGAAGGUAACAGUCAAAAGGUAUCCGAUAUUCCAUAGAAGUAUGAAAAAACGCUUGCUGCUCAUCAGGGAAGUGAAACUGAAGAAAAGGAUGGAAAUACAGAUUUGUCGGUGCCAGGGCUAGUUUCAAUUUCCGAGGGAUUAUCUCUUCUUGCUUUGAAGCUCACAUGAUUGUUUAUGUAGAACUAGAUGAAAAGAUACAAAUGGAGAAUCUGGAUAAGCUUGUUCAGGACGAAACAUGGGAUAGUGAAGAAGCAAGCCAAAAUAAUGUUCUGAAUAGUAGAAUGCAAGUAAGAAUUUAAUCAUUAGUUUUUGUUUAUUCUCUUGGCAUGUGUGCAGUGUGUCCUUACAAGCUGUGGAUCAUCAUGUGAAGUUCUCUUUCUAGUUUAGUAGUUCAGCUUGGUGCACCUCCAUAAUUGAUUUAUUGAUAUCUUCGGUGUGUUAAAAUCUUGUUUGAUCUGGCUCUUGAAUUUUGUGGAACUCCACAGGCUAAUUUACUAAAGACCUGCUGUAAAGAUAAAAAUAUAAAUCAAUUAGCAUCAAGUUUAUAUUGUGCCACUAAUAGCUUAUUGAUAAUGAAAUAUACUCUUAUGAGAGAA